UGUUCCGCCAGGAGCAUCGCUGGGUAGCUAUGUGUGGCAGGGAUAAACGCUGAAAGCAUCUAAGCGUGAAGCCCCCCUCAAGAUGAGAUUUCCCAUUUCUUCGGAAAGUAAGAUCCCUGAAAGAUGAUCAGGUAGAUAGGUUUGGAGUGGAAGUGUAGCGAUACAUGGAGCGGACAAAUACUAAUCGAUCGAGGACUUAACCAAAAA
rnacentral:rRNA from 1 species